AACGAACGCUGGCGGCAUGCCUAACACAUGCAAGUCGAACGAGACCUUCGGGUCUAGUGGCGCACGGGUGCGUAACGCGUGGGAACCUGCCCUUAGGUUCGGAAUAACUCCCCGAAAGGGGUGCUAAUACCGGAUAAUGUCUUCGGACCAAAGAUUUAUCGCCUUUGGAUGGGCCCGCGUUGGAUUAGCUAGUUGGUAGGGUAAAAGCCUACCAAGGCGACGAUCCAUAGCUGGUCUGAGAGGAUGGUUAGCCACACUGGGAAUGGGACCCGGCCCAGACUCCUACGGGAUGCGGGAAUGGGGGAUGUUGGAACAUGGGGGGAAGGCUGAACCAGCCAGGCCCGGGGAAGUAUGGAAGCCUUGAGGGUGUAAAGCUUUUUUAACCGGGAUGAUAAUGACAGUACCGGGAGAAUAAGCUCCGGCUAACUCCGUG
rnacentral:rRNA from 1 species